ACACCCAGCUCUCCUGGCUCUAGCAGCACAGAAAUAUUGGCACUGGGAAGCGAGUCUGCCAAUAUUGGCUGUGUUGCUCCAGGCAGGGUGGUGA
ensembl:miRNA Mir195a microRNA 195a